rnacentral:lncRNA from 1 species
CUUUAACACUGAUCUACUGCUGAUUUUAAUUACAACAACACCCAGUUGACUCCUAACUUGGCCUUUGAAUCGCACCUCCAGAGCGAGGCUCCCGGGUUGGCUACCAUCUGGGCACGCGCAGAAGCUCAGCCAAUCCAGGGUGCCGCCUCCCUUCCCCAACCCUUGGGCGAGCGGGCGCGUGCGCUUGCGCGGCCGAGGCGCGGGGGGGUGGGUGGGGGGUUACGCUAGGAGAGCGCAUGGGCAGACAAACUACGUUCGUUUGUUGGGACGAGAGGGGUGGGUGGGCGCCAUCUUCCUCUGGGCUCGCAAAAGGCUCUACCUGAGCUACGAGGAGGAGUAUCCCAGCUCCCGGCCUGGUGUCUGACUUGGCAGCAGCGCCUCCAUGUGGUGGUGUGUGUGCGCUUCCCCGUGAUCUUGACAGUGAAGAGCCCGAAGGAUUUCAUAGAUGUCUACUUGGAUUUUGUACUUCCUUUUUGCAAAAGGAUAAUGAAUUUCCUCUUGGAACGAAGAAGACUAUUUUGUAAUGUCCAUAAUUGUGGAUCUUAA